AAUAAUAUUUAUUCUUACUACGUAUGAUACCUUUGGUAUUUUUAAAAUUGAGUCCAUUCCAUUUUUUUUUUCAAAGGCUGGUCUUGACUUUGGUGAUAUUGUGAUUUACCACCCAGAUGACCAAAAUGUAUUUCUUGUGUAUAUUUGGUCUUUGUUGCUGUUUCUGGCUCACAGCUUUCAGAACUCUUGAAAUUUCCUAAGUGUUGAGAGUGCUGAAAGGGUCUUUGUUUUAUCAAUGAGGUGACUUUCAGAAGCACCUAAGGAGGGGGGCUGAUAGCCCUUGGUGCUAACCAUGAGAUUAGAGGGUUGGAACUUUCAGCCCAACCCCUUCGCCACCUCACCAGACCACUGGGGAGCUACUAGGGACUGGAGGUUUAAUCAACUGCCAAUGGCUUAUGAUUUAAUCAGCCAUGCCUAUGCCUUCAUCAGAAGCCUCCAUGAAAACGUGAAAGGACAGGGUUCAGAGAGCUUCUGGGGUGGUGAGCCCAUGGAGGUUUGGGAGAGCAGUGUACCUGGGGAGGGCCUGGAAGCUCAGCACCCCUUCCUUCAUCCCUUACCCUGUGCCUCUCUUCCGUCUGGCUGUUAAGUAAAAUGUUUCUCUGAGUUCUGUGAGCUGUUCUGGCAAAUUAAUCGAAACAAUGGGAUUGUGGAAACCUUUGACUUAUAAGUAGCUGAUCAGAAGCACAAGGUAAUAGCCUGGCCUUGCGACUGGCAUUUGAGGUGGUGUAAAAUCUUGUGAGACUGAGCUUUUUAAUUGUGCCGUCUGAAUUGUUUUUUGGUGUGGGGAUGCCCCCCCCCCCCGCCCCGACCCCAGAAAGGAAUUGAUCCAGGAACCCUUUCAGUCUCUAAGCUUAUUUUACUAAUUGAAGGCACACGUUAGGAAUAAGAAAUCUAGUUACAGCUUUGCAAGCCCUGGUGAUUAGGAUAGGCUACCCGAAUACGCAGUGGAAGGAGGUGGAAAGUCCUGUGAGGAUGUGAGGUUUAGGGAUGCUUUAGACAUUUUGGGCUCAUCAAAAGAGCACCUUUAGUUCCUGGAAGACUGAUCUGUGGAGUCCAAAUAAAAUACAGAGCAGAGAUACAGAGAAAACCUAGGGUCUUGGUACUACAUCAAUUUUAUCAGUUUCAUGAGCCAAUAUAUCCACCCCCUUUUUUAAAAAAUUAAUUUUUAAAAAUGAAUCCUUAAAAAUUAUAGUUGAGUUACAGUGCUGGGCCAAUUUCUGCUAUAUACCCCUGACCCCUUUUAAAAAAUGGGUUCCAGAUACUGUACUACAAAAUGUCCUAGCUGAUACAGACUUCACCCAUGUGAGGGAGAGAAUAGUUUUACUUUCACAUUUAUACUUUCUAAUGUAAUUACUUAUAACAUUUUCUAGUUCUAUCAUAGUAUUAGGAUAUAACAGUGCUUUCUAGCUCACCCUCUUUAAAAAUAGCAUAAUGGAAUAUAUAGGAAAUGGUGUUUUAUGGCAUUUUGGGGCAAAGGCUUUCUAAAAGUUUUAAAGUUUUGGAAUGGUAAAGGGAUAGAAAUCCCUUUGGUUCAAGAUAGCAAAGAUUAUAGGGGAGCUUUCGGAAAUUUGCUAACUUUUAAAAAAAGUUUUGAGUUAAUUUAAGGUAUUUCUUGGAAGUUCAUUUCUGAGUAUUUGUGAAUAACUUCUCACACAGCAUCAAGUACAAACAAAUCUACCAUUGAAUGAAUUCCUUAUAUAAAGUUUGAGAACUAGCAUGAACUUUAAAAUAUUCUAUAAAUACUCUGUAUUUAGCUAAAAUUACUAAGGUCUUUGGACCUAUGUGAUUUAUAUGAUAGCAUAUUUCUAUCAGUUCAUUUAUUAAUAUAAAUAAAUUUUCUGAGGCUCUCAUGUUCAUAUCUGGUAAGUUUAUGGUUUUCAGAAUACUAGGGAAUACAGUAUUUAUUUUAUUCAAGUCAUAAUUUAUUGAAGUAAAAAAUUCUCUAGAAAAUUGGAUACGAGGUAUGUAGGAAAAGUUGCCGGUUAUUAAUGCAAUGCUCAAAGUUGCCUAACCUUAGGCAUAAGAAGAGCCUAGUGGAAAAUUCUUCCAGGCUAAUAAAUCUGUUCAAAUGCUCCAAAUGAAAACUCCAUCAGUCAUUUGUUAUUGUUUUUCUUUCCAUGAAAUAAAUAAAUCAUAGAUAUUUUGAGCAUUUGGUCUAUUUCUGAAUCGUUUUAAACACAGCAGGAUAUUGAAAGAUAUCUAGUUCUUGCCUGUGAGGAGGAGGUUAUGAUCUAUUUGCAGCAACAGAUUAUACACAGACUAGGAGUUAAACCAAUGAGCCUCACAACUUUCUGACAUGGAAACCACAUGACACUAAAAACCCCGGAGGAUUGGUACGAUGUAAUAUUUCAUGACCCAAAAGUUCAUUGGAACUUCUGAAGAACUUUGAGGUAUAGAUUAUGGUCGAGCCACACACUCUGAGGCUCAAGAGCUCUUGCUCAGUUCUUAAUGGGUCGGAGGUGAGUCAUCAAGUGGUCACAGAGGUGUGUAGCCCUAAGUGUUCUGUGAACUAAGAGGAAGGAGAAGUAACCAAUGUGCAAAACCCAAUGUGACUUUUAAAUGGCUAUAAGCUAAGGUUAAGGGAUGAGGACAAAAGGAACAGCAAGGGCAUUCCAGAUCUUAGAAAUGGUGUGAACGAUCUUGACUUGGCAAAGGUUGUGACAUAUAUGAAAGAGAACAGAUGGGCUAUUUUGGCCUGAGCCAACAUGGGGCCAACUGGGAAAGAUUUAAGAAAAGGACUGCAGUGUAGGAACUGCAAUCCUAAUUUCUUUCUUUUACUCUAACAUUGAGUGUUUAAGUACUUUUUGUUUUUAGUCCUCUAAACAUGUCUUGGGAACAUGUUUGUAAUGCUUUAUAACAGUUUUCAAGGCUUAGAGAGUGUUAAGAAUACACCUGCAGAUUUAUAAGGAGCAGUUAAGGGUGUCUCGAAAAAACAUUGUUUACUCAAUGUUUAAUUUAAUAAAAAAAGUCCAUUUAAGUAAUCAACUUAAUUCUCAAACAUUUUAUUUUUGACACUCUCAAAUCAAAUAAGUAAUGAUUAUUAUCUUUAGGUUAGAAGUGGAGACUCAUUAGAUUUAAAAUAUUUUUCAAAGCCUUAGCAAUAUUGUUUGUAACAAAUAAAAUGGAAUCCACUAGCAUGUCCUUUGAUUGUGAGUUUUCAAUCCCCACCGGAACUUUUGGAGAACAAAUAAAAUCUAUGCUAAGGUAAACGUAGUUAUUUACUUUAUAAUGGGACAUACGCCUUUGCCCAUUUGGAAGCUAAAGGCAACUUACAUGUCUUGGAUUGGGUGAAGGCAAUGAUGUCGUUUUGUCCUUGGGACUCUAUUUAGAAGAGAAGUUAAAACAAAAGUUAAAAAUUGAGAGGACAGACUUAACACAAUUGGAUUUUUGUCUUAGGAGGAGAUUUUCUAAAGUGUAAUAUUUUCCCUAGAAAUGCCUUAGGCCCAGCUUGUGCUUGCCUUAAUUUUGUCCAUAUUCCUUGAAAGAUACUUUGUGUAUUAGUAUGAGUUGAUUUGACUUGAAUUUAGCUUUGUUGGAUCUGGCUGCUAUUGAGUUGUCUGGCUUCCCAAAGACAUGGAGAUAGAGUGGUCCUUUUCAAUAACCAAUCCUUGGAACUAUUUCCUACUCUCUAUAACUCUCAGAAGUCUCUUGGAUAGUCAAAAGACCGGAAAAUGGCUGGGUAUUAAGGCAGGACAUUACAGACUCAAUAAAUCAAACUUGUCAGAUUUCUCUUCCCUUCACCCUGAAACAGAGUACUAGGAGUUAUGCAUAAAUAUAAACUCUAAGCUCUAUCUACUCUUAAAUUCUUGGCAUUGUUUAUGUUAAUAACUUGUCUUUUAUGUGGUGUAUUUACCUAUGGAUGAGGAUGGUGAAAUCACUUUCAUUGAGAACAUUAAAGAGUAAAGUCUGGAAAAAAAAGAGUAAAGUCUGAAUACUAUUAAGGUGGGUGAUUAUUAUUAUCAGUCAAUGGAGAGAAUCAACAGUUGCAUUAGACGAUGAAUGGGUAAAACAACAUAGAGUCAGUGUUCUAUGAAUUAUUAAAGAGAAUCUAGGAUAUUAAAUCUACAGUAAACCAAACUGAAAAUUCACUAAAAUUGCUGGCUUUUCUUUUAAUUUUAUACUUAUUUAAUUUUUAGAAUAAUUUUUGGUGCAUAUAUUUAACCUAAAAUUGAAAAACAAAUGCAAAGUGAGGUCAAAUUUCCACCUCCACUCCCCACCCCCAAAUAAGGAACUUAAAAAGUAUUUAACAACACAUUUUACUGGGUUGGCUUAUUAAAGCUCACUUGACCUAAAUGGUAAUAAAGUUUACCAUAUAGAGAUGUUAGCAGAUAUUUUUCUGUGGGCAAAUCCUGAAUAGAAGAGAAAUGUAAUUUCAACUUUGAACAGACAAACAACAAAUUUAAGAACAGGAGUUUCUUUUUAGCUUGUCAUAUUAAUAACAGCAUGUCCUUUGGUUUCAGGUAGCAGAAUAAGGAAGUGACUGACAGCGCCUGACUUCCUACUAUGAAAAAGAAUUCUUCCUACCUGGAUGGCCUGCAUCACAAACUUGCUUUCCCAGCACUGACUGUUAUUGUUCUGGUAUCAUUGGAUUGGAGAAACUGACCCACUGGAACAUAAAACAUACUUGGUUCAAAUGGCUUCAUCCAGAUUUGAGAAGUCAUUCGAGAGUGUUUGAAACCAAGGUAAGGGUCACUUUAUUAUGGAGUUUAUUAGUGUUGUUAGGGACAAGUUACUGCUAAAUUGGUAAAUAGAAUUUAAGAAGAAACCUGUGAACCUAGACGUAUUAUGAAAUACUUUAUACCUGUUCAUAUUUUGAUAACUUAGAAUCUGAACAUAUUAGAAGGACAGGGGCUUGUCCCCACCUGGACAAAAGUAGCUUCUACGUAGCUUCAGUCAGAGCUAAUAAUCAUUUGGUUUGAAUGGCCAUACAUAGUGUUUCAAAUUUUGGCAGAUUUCAUCCUGUUAAUUUGGGUGGCAAAUAUCUACACGCAUACCCUAUUACUGGGUUUUCUUUCAAGCAUCAGAAGGAGCUAUAUUUGUCCUUCUUCAAGUUUUAUGGAGAUACUAUUAACAUACAGCACUGUGUAAAUUUAUGGUGUGCGGCACAAUGAUCUGACUUACAUAUCUCAUGAAGUGUUGAUCACGAUAAGCUUACUGUCAUCUCAUAGAGCUAUAAAAGAAAAGAAAAAGUAUUUUUUUUCCUUGUGGUGAGAACUCAGAAUUUACUCUUAUCAGUUUUCAUAUAUAAUAUCCAGUUAUUAAUUUUAUUAAUCAUGUUGCCUAUGCUAUUGGUUGGUGUUAGUUAGAACAUUCUACAAUAUUGUGAUUUUGUGGCUUUUAGAGGACUACUCAUUUCAUGUAAGUCUCAAUUUCCAAAUAUAAAGCAAGGAACAAGUGAAGCAUGUUUUAACCUACCCAGGUAGUCCACGAGUCCCUUUGCAGCAUGCACCGCACUUUCUGUGACUUAUACCCGCAUAAAAUUCAGCAGAGAAUUCAGAACACAAUAUUUGAAGUGUAUCUUAAUAGCAGCUGAUGACAGCAAUGUUUGAGUGGUUUAGGAACUUUGAAUGGCAAGAUCUGUAAUCUGUAAAGUAUAAUUAAAAUGUAUAAUUACAAAGUCUAUAAUCUGUAAUGUGUAACUUUGAAGUUUGUUUUUCCAAAGAGAUUUUUAUGCUGCUUGUGGAUCAGGUAUGAAUUACUCAUAUCUGUAACAGCAACUAAUGCUACUUGACUGAGUCAGUGAGUGACUGAAAAACAACUAUUUGAUAGUUAUCAAAAUAAGUACAAUUAUCGUGUGACCUGCAAUUAAUACAAAGUAGGGGAAAGGUGUAAAGGAAUAUAAACUAAAAAAUAACAGUUCCCUUUAUAAGAAGACUAGACUUAGAGGAAUGAAAUUUACUUACAUCUUGUUAGAAAGCUGUUGUGGAAGUGAGUAGCAUCUGUAAUGGUUGAUAGUCCAGCUUUAAAAACGUAGUGGACAGAGGUCAUGCGCCUAAGGAAUUUCCUACCUUCAUGCCCAGAGAGCUUGAUGCCCUUCUCUUUGAGUGGUGGGGACAGUCCUUUUUGUUCUUCAAAUGUGCAGUCAUAUAUACUGAACUGGAACCAUUGAGAUUAAUGGCUUAUCAGUGUCGAAAGCCUGAGGCCAGCAAUGGAUGCUAACUUACCGAAAUCCAAGUAUAUUUUAAAAGAGCGCUGUGGGCACUUGAAGUAUGGAUGCUGAGGUCUCAACGUCAAUGAGCACCUUCUCCAAAGGAAAAAGACAAUGGCUUUAUUUUUCACAUAACCUAUCAAAGGUGAAUUUUGCUGCUUUUAAGCAAAUCAAAAUUAUAGGUGACUUACUACUGCAAAAAUGUUGUAUGUGUGUGUAUGUGUAUGUCUAUGGGUAUACCUGUCAGCAAGACUUUUCUCCUUCCAAGAGGAAAGAUAUUUCUAUAGUCACUUCAUGUGCGGUUUCUGCUUUCCUCACCCAGCUGUCCAACUGGGACGAUUCUCUUUUUCCAUGUGUCUCCAGACACAGGAGAAGGCUUAAGGAGAAUGACGCAGGCAGGGGCCGGUGGCCUGGCUUCUCCCCGCUUCACGGCCUGCCUUCUGGGGCCUGGCCUGGUGUGUGGCUGCUGUUUAUACCUGCUGAAGUGCUUUCUGUGUUUGCGUUGGCGCUGCCAGCUUACAUGCUGAAGCCCCAAGCCGUUCAUGAGGUCUGUCCCAGAGCUUUGAAACCUAUGAGCUGGCGGCUGGGGCGAGAGAAUGUCUCUCUCAAUUUUUGGGUGAACUCCAUGUUUUUUCCAAGAGGUUAGAUCACUGUCCGCAGUCCAGGCUUGCUAGACAGAAUGUAACAGUUACUGUUUGAGACAUCCGGAACGUUUAAGGGCAAAAGGCAGAGGGGGAAGGGAAGAGAAAAAUAAAAGCUCAAGGUCAACUUCACAGCUUGAAAGCGAACAUUUUUACAUCUGGUAAACAAAAAUUUUUACGGAACUGGAAAACUUUAUCACCAAGGAAGGAAAAAAAAAAAAAA
ensembl:lncRNA